UGAGUAACCUGCCCUUAACUCUGGGAUAAGCCUGGGAAACUGGGUCUAAUACCGGAUAUGACUCCUCAUCGCAUGGUGGGGGGUGGAAAGCUUUAUUGUGGUUUUGGAUGGACUCGCGGCCUAUCAGCUUGUUAGUGAGGUAAUGGCUCACCAAGGCGACGACGGGUAGCCGGCCUGAGAGGGUGACCGGCCACACUGGGACUGAGACACGGCCCAGACUCCGUACGGGAGCAG
rnacentral:rRNA from 1 species